rnacentral:rRNA from 1 species
UACGGAUGAAAGCGGGGGAUCGCACGACCUCGCGCGAUUGGAGCGGCCGAUGGCAUAUUAGGUACUUGGUGAGGUAAAGGCUCACCAAGCCGUCUAUCUGUAUCUGGUCUGAGAGGACCACCAGCCACACUGGGACUGACACGCGGCCCAGACUCCUACGGGAGGCAGCAAUGGGGAAUUUUGGACAAUGGGCGCAAGCCUGAUCCGGCCAUUCCUCGUGCAGGAUGAAGGCCCUCGGGUUGUAAACUGCUUUUGUACGGAACGAAGAAGCCCUUUCUAAUACAGAGGGUCCAUGACGGUACCGUACCAAUAAGCACCGGCUAACUACGUACCAGCACCCGCGGUAAUACGUACGGUGCAAGCGUUAAUCGGAAUUACUGGGCGUAAAGCGUGCGCAGGCGGUGAUGUAAUACAGUUGUGAAAUCCCCGGGCUCGACCUGAGAACUGCAUCUGUGACUGCAUCGCUGGACUGCGGCAGAGGGGGAUGGAAUUCCGCGUGUAUCAAUGAAAUGCGUAGAUAUGCGGAUGAACACCGAUGGCGAAAGCUAUCCCCUGGGCCUGCACUGACGCUCAUGCACGAGAGCGUGCGGAGCACACAGGAUUAGAUACCCUGGUAGA